rnacentral:lncRNA from 1 species
ACUUCUCGGUUUUUGUUCGCUUUCUAACCUUUCCUUUGGAUAAAUAGAAGUGCGGUGGCGACUCGAAUUGUAUGAUUUACUUUUGAUUUAGUCAAUAAAUCUAAAGGUAACUAUAAAACUUCUCGGUUUUUGUUCGCUUUCUAACCUUUCCUUUGGAUAAAUAGAAGUGCGGUGGCGACUCGAAUUGUAUGAUUUACUUUUGAUUUAGUCAAUAAAUCUAAAGGUAACGAAUACCCCACUUCAAAAAAGUGGCGACUCUGCUGGGAAGUAGAUGUUGCUUCCUAGUGGGUUUAGCCUACUUUUUGCCUUUGUUGUAUUGUAUGUUUAUAUUAUUUGUGACAUACUUUUGUGCAAAUUUGGUAUGAAUGUAUUGUUUGUA